CCUACGGGAGGCAGCAGUAAGGAAUAUUGGUCAAUGGACGCAAGUCUGAACCAGCCAUGCCGCGUGGAGGAUGAAGGUCCUCUGGAUUGUAAACUUCUUUUAUCUGGGACGAAAAAAGGGUUUUCUAACUCGUCUGACGGUACCAGAUGAAUAAGCACCGGCUAACUCCGUGCCAGCAGCCGCGGUAAUACGGAGGGUGCAAGCGUUAUCCGGAUUCACUGGGUUUAAAGGGUGCGUAGGCGGGCAAUUAAGUCCGUGGUGAAAUACCUGAGCUUAACUUGGGAACUGCCAUGGAUACUAUUUGUCUUGAAUGUCGUGGAGGUUAGCGGAAUAUGUCAUGUAGCGGUGAAAUGCUUAGAUAUGACAUAGAACACCUAUUGCGAAGGCAGCUAACUACGCGAAUAUUGACGCUGAGGCACGAAAGCGUGGGGAUCAAACAGGAUUAGAUACCCUGGUAGUCCACGCCCUAAACGAUGAUUACUCGACAUUGGCGAUACACAGUCAGUGUCUGAGCGAAAGCAUUAAGUAAUCCACCUGGGAAGUACGACCGCAAGGUUGAAAACUCAAAGGAAUUGACGG
rnacentral:rRNA from 1 species